ACGCUGGCGGCAUGCUUUACACAUGCAAGUCGGACGGCAGCACAGAGAAGCUUGCUUCUUGGGUGGCGAGUGGCGAACGGGUGAGUAACAUAUCGGAACGUACCGAGUAAUGGGGGAUAACUAAUCGAAAGAUUAGCUAAUACCGCAUAUUCUCUGAGGAGGAAAGCAGGGGACCUUCGGGCCUUGCGUUAUUCGAGCGGCCGAUAUCUGAUUAGCUAGUUGGUGGGGUAAAGGCCUACCAAGGCGACGAUCAGUAGCGGGUCUGAGAGGAUGAUCCGCCACACUGGGACUGAGACACGGCCCAGACUCCUACGGGAGGCAGCAGUGGGGAAUUUUGGACAAUGGGCGCAAGCCUGAUCCAGCCAUGCCGCGUGUCUGAAGAAGGCCUUCGGGUUGUAAAGGACUUUUGUCAGGGAAGAAAAGGCUGUUGCUAAUACCGACAGUUGAUGACGGUACCUGAAGAAUAAGCACCGGCUAACUACGUGCCAGCAGCCGCGGUAAUACGUAGGGUGCGAGCGUUAAUCGGAAUUACUGGGCGUAAAGCGAGCGCAGACGGUUACUUAAGCAGGAUGUGAAAUCCCCGGGCUCAACCUGGGAACUGCGUUCUGAACUGGGUGACUAGAGUGUGUCAGAGGGAGGUAGAAUUCCACGUGUAGCAGUGAAAUGCGUAGAGAUGUGGAGGAAUACCGAUGGCGAAGGCAGCCUCCUGGGAUAACACUGACGUUCAUGCUCGAAAGCGUGGGUAGCAAACAGGAUUAGAUACCCUGGUAGUCCACGCCCUAAACGAUGUCAAUUAGCUGUUGGGCAACUUGAUUGCUUAGUAGCGUAGCUAACGCGUGAAAUUGACCGCCUGGGGAGUACGGUCGCAAGAUUAAAACUCAAAGGAAUUGACGGGGACCCGCACAAGCGGUGGAUGAUGU
rnacentral:rRNA from 1 species